GUAAGGAUGGAGAUUUGCUUCAUGUUAAUAUCUAGAUGGGUCAGACUGGUGGCAUUAAGAAAGACAUUGAUGUAGAAAUAAAUUUGAAGGUCUGACCAUGCUGAUCAAUGAUGUUGCAAUUCAAGCAUUAAAGUCAUGCUUUCUCCCAGCAUCCUGAGAAUUUCACACUGGAGGAGGCCACUAAUUUAUGGAUGUGGAUGCAGACUACAAGAUCAUCCCCUGAGGAAGAGCUUUCAUUGUCAUGGAUGUGAGACAUGAGAUACUAUUCUUCCAUACAAAUAAGGAGGAGGAUUUUUCUGGUUUAGCCUAGAGAGCUGGAUCUGGACAGGCACUGGAGACAAGAGCAGCAGAGAGCUGGUAGGUUUUGUUUCCCUAUUCCUUUUCAACUAGUAAUAAGACCUGCAUGUAAUUCAUUCUAGUGGAGCUGCAUCCUAUCCAAGAGAAAGGUUACUGCUUUGCUUUUGGAUGUCCUCCUGUGCAAGUUUAUCUAUAAAU